rnacentral:rRNA from 1 species
AAUGAACGCUGGCGGCGCGCCUAAUACAUGCAAGUCGAGCGAGAAGACGUAGCAAUACGUUUGCAAAGCGGCGAACGGGUGAGGAAUACAUGGGUAACCUACCCUCGAGUGGGGAAUAACUAGCCGAAAGGUUAGCUAAUACCGCGUACGCUCCUUGGACUUCGGUUCAGGGAGGAAAGCGAUACCGUGGGUAUCGCGCUCUUGGUUGGGCUCAUGUCCUAUCAGCUUGUUGGUGAGGUAACGGCUCACCAAGGCUUCGACGGGUAGCUGGUCUGAGAGGACGAUCAGCCACACUGGCACUGCGACACGGGCCAGACUCCUACGGGAGGCAGCAGUAAGGAAUAUUGGACAAUGGGGGCAACCCUGAUCCAGCCAUGCCGCGUGCGGGAAGAAGGCCU